GUGGGGAAUCUUAGACAAUGGGCGCAAGCCUGAUCUAGCCAUGCCGCGUGAGUGAUGAAGGCCCUAGGGUUGUAAAGCUCUUUCAGCUGGGAAGAUAAUGACGGUACCAGCAGAAGAAGCCCCGGCUAACUCCGUGCCAGCAGCCGCGGUAAUACGGAGGGGGCUAGCGUUGUUCGGAAUUACUGGGCGUAAAGCGCGCGUAGGCGGACUGAAAAGUUGGGGGUGAAAUCCCGGGGCUCAACCUCGGAACUGCCUUCAAAACUAUCAGUCUGGAGUUCGAGAGAGGUGAGUGGAAUGCCGAGUGUAGAGGUGAAAUUCGUAGAUAUUCGGAGGAACACCAGUGGCGAAGGCGGCUCACUGGCUCGAUACUGACGCUGAGGUGCGAAAGCGUGGGGAGCAAACAGGAUUAGAUACCCUAGUAGUCC
rnacentral:rRNA from 1 species